UUUUCUCGAAUUUAUAAGAGCUAAGAAUAUAUAAAUUUUAAUGUGGAAGAAUUAUUUAUAAUAUAUUUUUUGAUAUUAUACGUUAGUCGGGUAUAAAUAUAUCUAGUUUUUUAAGAAAUUAAUUUAAUUAAGCUAAUUGUGAGGGUGAUUUAUUUUGUAAAUAUACCUAAUAAUUAAGUAAUAUUUAAGGGGAUAAGCUUUUAAGUAGAAGUUUAUAAGAAGUUUAUAUUUUAAAGUUGAAUAGGAAUAGAAGUUUUCAUUUUUUGUAGUGUUUUAUAUCAAGACUUUAAUUUAAGUGAUUUGUUUUUUUUUAGUUUAUUUAUUAAAAUAUUAAAAUUAAUUUGAUAGUUUUAGGUAAUAAUGAUAAAAUUAGUAUAGAAAUUUGUUUAAGUGUUUAUGAAUAUAAAUUUUAAUUAAGGAAUUCGGCAAAUAUAUUUUCUGCCUGUUUAUUAAAAACAUGGCUUUUUGGGAAUAAUUUAAGGUCAGGCCUGCCCCAUGAUUAAUUAAAUGGCCGCGGUACUCUGACCGUGCAAAGGUAGCAUAAUCAUUAGUUUUUUAAUUGAAAGCUGGAAUGAACGGUCUUACAAGAAAAUUACUGUCUCAAUUAAAUGAUUUUAGAAUUUUAUUUUUUAGUUAGAAAGCUAAAAUGUUUUUAGGGGACGAGAAGACC
rnacentral:rRNA from 1 species